CUGUGCUAGACCCUGUGUUGAAUGUUUUACAUACAUGAUCACGCUUGAUCUUCACAUCAAUCCAAAGAAGUAAAGUCCAACAUUAUUUUAAUUUUACAGAUGGAGAACUGAGGCUCUGGGAAGUUAAGAGAUUUGCUCAAAGUCACACAACUAAUAAGUGGGAGAGCCGGGAUUCAAACUCGUAGCCUGGCUCCAGGCUCUUCCAACCUCAGCGCGAUGGAGUCUCUAGUACGCUCGCACGCGGGCCCCUCCUCUGCUACGCCGCUGGGGCUCGCCCGCCACCCACAGCACUCGCAGAGUCCUCCGGGCACACCGCGGCUAGCUGCCGGGGCCAAGGAGUGGGCGGGAGCGCCCACCCACCCCUCGCCGGCCAGGGCAUCCAAGAGGCGCGCUCACAGCAGCACGGCGCCCCGCCUCCCGCUCCGAAAAAGCGCCUGCUCCCCUGACGCGGUGUGGCGUCUCCGUCAGCCCAGCCGGAUUCUCCCCGCUUCGCUGGAGUGGAAAAUAACGGCUUCAAACUUUGCAGAAAGGAGCUAGUGCCAGCACUUUAAUUAACAGCCAUCUUGGCCUGUGAGCCGGAGCCACCGGCUCGGCGCCUCCCUGGGCUCGCCAAGCCCCGCCCCGGCUCCGCCCAGGCCCCCAAAGAAGCACUCCUUAACCCCCUACCCGACCCUCCACCCAUCCCCUGCUCUCAGCGCCCCUCUUUCCGGGAGAUGAGGGCUUGGCUGAUUGGGGAGCAGGUGCUGCCUUGAGGGGCAUCUCCCAGUCUAACGCCUGAAGACAGUCACAACCCCCCCAUCCGCCAUGCUGCCCCCCAACAUUCUAUGAAGCUGGACUGUUGAAGAUUCUGAUAUUAAAGACCUGCGUGCCAGCUGGGUGCUGUGGCUUACGUCUGUAAUCCCAGCACUUUGGGAGCCUGAGGCCCAAGGAUCGCUUGAGCUCAGGAGUUCCAAACAAGCUUGGGCAACUUAGAGAGAUCCUGGCGUGGUGGCGCGUACCUGUAGUCCCAGCCACUCAGGAGGCUGAGGCGGGAGGAUCGAUUGAGCCUGGGAGGUCGAGGCUGCAAUGAGCCGAGAUCACGCCAUUGCACUCCAGCCUGGGAAACAGAGCAAGACCCUGUCUCAUUAACAACAAAACUGAAAAGGCUUGUGUGCCCAUCCUAUCCAGUAAUUUUAGGUAAAUAGCCUACCCGGCAGCGCCUGGCAUCCUUUGGAAAAAGGUGGGUUGUGAGGAUUAAAUGAGAUUUUAUGCAUGUAAAGUCUUGGGCUCAGUAUCUGACCCUUAUUAUGCACCUCGUAAAUGGUAGCUAAUAUAAUUUUUUCACCUCAA
rnacentral:lncRNA from 1 species